rnacentral:rRNA from 1 species
GACGUAGGGCGCGAGCGUUGUCCGGAUUUAUUGGGCGUAAAGAGCUCGUAGGCGGCUUGUUGCGUCGGCUGUGAAAACCCGCAGCUCAACUGUGGGCUUGCAGCCGAUACGGGCAGGCUAGAAUUCGGUAGGGGAGACUGGAAUUCCUGGUGUAGCGGUGAAAUGCGCAGAUACCAGGAGGAACACCGGUGGCGAAGGCGGGUCUCUGGGCCGAUAUUGACGCUGAGGAGCGAAAGCGUGGGGAGCGAACAGG